AAGGACUACCUGUAUUUUUAAAAAUAGAGAAGAAAAAGUAAACAGAAAUUCACAAUGUUGAAAUGCUGAAUCAUUGAUUUAAAUUAAAUGAAAGAAAAUGCAUAACUGAUAGAAGUAUUUUAGAAGGAUAAAAAUUCAAGACACCUUGUUACUGUAUGCUAGGUAGAAGAACAAACAAAUAAAUAAAAAGUGUGGAACACUACUAUUAAAAUGGCGAUAGAAAUAACAACCAAAUAGUUUUAUUUUUCACUGAGGCAGAAAGAAUGGACUUGAAUGAAUGCAAGGACAGAAAGUGCAAUGCCCAGGGAGGGACAUAUUCUACCACUACAGAGAAGACCUGCUAUCUGACCCGAGUCCGAUGUACCUCCCUCAGGGUAGGGAGCAUUCUAAGAAUGCACUCUUGAAAUAUUUGAACUAUGGAGGCAGACACAGCUUUGGAAAGGCAAUGAUGAAUCCGGAUGAGAGGACUUACCAAGAUGGAUUUGCCUCUUCAAAAAAGGAGGGAAACAAAGAGGGAGAAAGAUGCAGUUGAGAAGUUCUGUUCUGUUCAAUGUCCUCCAUCAUUGCUUAGAUAAAUAUUACUGGAAUUGCAAAAAGGAGAACAAAAGCAUGAUCUGGCAAAAAAAGCCAGCAACACUAUAGCCUUCCAGCGCUUUGUGAUCAUGUUUUCAUUGUUAUUCUGUUUCUGGCAAUAAUCAAGAUCAUUCCUAAGAAAUACAGGACUGCUUUUCUUGUCUAGAGGUUUCAAGAUGAAAUAGAAUAUUUGGAAACUGCCAGGUCAAAUAUUGCAGAUAUUGAGUUGCAUGAUCCUUUCAGCCAGGGUGAAUUGAGCUUCACCUCAAUCCUCUUUCGCCACAACUCUUGGAAUCCAGAACUAAUUGACUUCAAGAGAACAGUCUUCCAGAAUGAACAUGGGUAGUUCACAUGCAUCAAAUAACAAUUGCUAUUAGCCAUAGCAUAACUAUUGCAGAUUCUGAAAGCAGAAUAAAUACUGCCCAAUAAUAA